GAGGGGCAGGGGAGCUGAUCCACAGCCCAACAGGAGUGGAGCACCAGGGUCCAGGCGUUAGGACCGGUGAAGGGGGGUGGGGGCGGGGUUGCCAGGUGCGGAGCUCCUGCCUCAUAAAGGUGGGUCUCGACGUCACAGGGAGGCAGACAUCAUCGCGGGGUUGGUCUCGCCCAGGCUCAGUUCUGUUCAGCUCACGACUCCUUCAGUACCCCACUCCGAGGGCUGGGAGUGAAUAUCUGGAGUUCGAGACAUGCCAGGGGUCCAGACCAACGUCCCGCGGAGAUUCAGACGCCGGAAGAGGGGCCGAAAGCGGUCACGAAUCAUCUUACCCGAGAACCCUGGACCCGCGCCCAAGGUAUGUCGGGUUUUGUCACCUCAAAGGACAAGGGUUGUUCCUGAACCUUCAGAAACGAGCCUCACGGACAUCACUAAGAUUGUAUCUCUGCUGCAAAUAUCAUGAAGACAAAGAGCAUGAGGCCAGAAGUAAAACCAAUUGUCCAUAAAAAUGAUGCCACAUGUACAUGAUAACACCUUUGCCAGGAACUCUACAACAGCUUCAGUGAUGGAAGGUUAAACCAGCUACCUAUUAUUGAAAAGACUGGAAGCAUAAAUCUAAAACACUGUGGCAUGCAUUAAAACUCACUCCAACCUGAUCUAUUUGAAUGUGUUGUUAAUGAUUAAAAAGGAUAUGGGCACUGAAAAAAAAAGACGCACUCCUACCACAAUCAUUUCAUAUAGAAUUAUAACUGAUAUAAAUAAUUUGGGGGCAUCAAAAAUGGGCCUUAAGAAACAUUUUACUAAUUUACUGAGAUCUGUCAGCCAAAGGCAAAAAAAAAAAGGGUUUAGAACACAAAGUCAUUUCUAAAAUCUCAUGGAAAAGCAUGGUGGAAUAUUGGGGCAUAUCUCCUCAUAGAUGAGGAUUCCUACAUUCUCUCUGUAUAUUGACAUAUAUGAGUACUUAUAUUCUCUCUAUAUAUGUAUAUGAAUACUAAUAUGUUCUCUCUAUAUACACAUUUGUAAAUGUGAGUGCUCAUGUAUUGUUUUGUGGGGAGAGCAAGAGUUGAAGUUUUAAUGGGGAGUGCAAUGGGGCAAUUCAGCUAACUGAAAUCACCCCAAGGGUAUUGAAGGAUAAAACUGGAAGGAAAAUGACCCAAUGCUGAAACAUGGCAAAGAUCUGCACAAGUUUUGCUGGAAUCCUGGUCACUGACAAGGGUAAUAGGGCACUAUCAGUGGGGACAAUCUUCUUUUCCAGAGAUGGCUCCAAUUCCUUGAAUUGGAUUUUUCCAUUCAACAAACCAUUAUUAAGCACCUACUAUAUGCCAGGCCACAUGCUAAGAUUUGGGACACAAAGCCAAAAAACCAUUACAGUCCUCAAGGAGCUUACAUUUCACACAUGCCAUUAGACAGGGGCUCCAGUUUUCCUUUUUACACACUAAUGUAAUCCCUCCUUUCCAAAAGGGAGUCUUUUCCAGAGAGUAGAUAGAAUAAUACAGGAAAACCUCC
rnacentral:lncRNA from 1 species